UGCGGAAGGAUCAUUAUU
rnacentral:rRNA from 2 species